GACGAACCGUGCGAACGUUGUUCGGAAUCACUGGGCUUAAAGGGCGCGUAGGCGGGCGGUCAAGUCGGUGGUGAAAGCCUCCAGCUUAACUGGAGAAGUGCCGCCGAUACUGACUGCCUCGAGGGAGGUAGGGGCAUGUGGAACUCAGGGUGGAGCGGUGAAAUGCGUAGAUAUCUGGAGGAACACCGGUGGCGAAGGCGGCAUCCUGGACCGGUAUUGACGCUGAGGAGCGAAAGCCAGGGGAGCAAACGGG
rnacentral:rRNA from 1 species